CACUUUGAACCAUGAGACCCUCACAGGUGGUGUUCAGGUUGGAGGCAUAUGAAAAGCCCAACAUUAGUGACGUCAGCGUGGAGCUGCAGCAGUGAGCAGGAAACAGCUGCAGCUCUCUGACUCUGUGUGUUUGCAUACAUGUGUCCUCCUCUCUGCUUCCAGCCAUAAGAGGCUGCUGUCCAUCAGUGGCUGUCCAGGCCUUUCACACACACAUGAUGAUGUCACUGACUCUGCUGCUGGCCACCCUGGGGCUCCUUGUUCAGGCCUCAUCAGGAGAAAUCCUCCUGACUCAGUCUCCUGGAUCUCAGUCUGCUGUUCCAGAACAGACUGUCUCCAUGAUAUGUAAAGCUAGUUCAGCUGUUGAUGAUGACCUCCACUGGUACCUUCAGAAACCUGGAGAAGCUCCUAAACUCCUGAUUCAUAAUGCUGUAACCCGUCAGUCUGGAGUUUCAGAUCGUUUCAGUGGAAGUGGAUAUGAUAUUGACUUCACUCUGACCAUCAGUGGAGUUCAGGCUGAAGAUUCAGGAGUUUACUACUGUCAGCAUGAUGAGGAGCUCCCGUUCACACAGUGAAAAAGCGUCGUACAAAAACCUCCCUCAGCUGCAGAGGAA